GACGAACCGUGCGAACGUUGUUCGGAAUCACUGGGCUUAAAGGGCGCGUAGGCGGGCUGCCAAGUCAGGGGUGAAAUCUUUCGGCUCAACCGGAAAAGAGCCUUUGAUACUGGCGGUCUCGAGGGAGGUAGGGGCGUGCGGAACUUCCGGUGGAGCGGUGAAAUGCGUAGAUAUCGGAAGGAACACCAGUGGCGAAGGCGGCUCACUGGUCUGGUACUGACGCUGAGGUGCGAAAGCGUGGGGAGCAAACAGG
rnacentral:rRNA from 1 species